GCAGCAGCUGCUCCCGCCUCUUUUGGGCCUCUGUUUUCUGCCAGUCUGGAGGAAAUGCAGAGAAUCUGUCAAUCUGCUGCUGACACUACAAAUAUAAACAAACAAACAAACAAACAAGCAGGUGAGCUGGAGCCUCUCAGCUUUCCAGGGUUUUUCCAGGAAGGGGCCCCACAGGGUCCAGGUGGGACCCUGAUCCAAAUCCCUGAGCCUCCCCCUGGAGGAGGGGGGGGCUGCCCACAGGAGAGCCCUCACUCCCCCUGGGGCUCAAAUAUCCGCCUGGCGCCCCCAGCUCCACAUCCAGCCAGUGCAGAGACGGACCCCCCCCAAGGAUUUGUGCUCAAAUGAAAAUAACAAAUCAGAGUAUUCCACUGUAGUCAGGAAGUGUAUUCAUGAAGGUUGUACUGAGUAAACUUUGACAGCAUUAACCCCGCCCACCACCAACAUAACUACACCCCCAUCUCUAAUUUUGGAAUGUUAAAGGGAAUUUUUUCAAAUAAAAGUCUUUACAGUAUCUAUUA